UGGGGAAUAUUGGACAAUGGGCGCAAGCCUGAUCCAGCCAUGCCGCGUGAGUGAAGAAGGCCCUAGGGUUGUAAAGCUCUUUCACCGGUGAAGAUAAUGACGGUAACCGGAGAAGAAGCCCCGGCUAACUUCGUGCCAGCAGCCGCGGUAAUACGAAGGGGGCUAGCGUUGUUCGGAUUUACUGGGCGUAAAGCGCACGUAGGCGGACUAUUAAGUCAGGGGUGAAAUCCCGGGGCUCAACCCCGGAACUGCCUUUGAUACUGGUAGUCUUGAGUUCGAGAGAGGUGAGUGGAAUUCCGAGUGUAGAGGUGAAAUUCGUAGAUAUUCGGAGGAAAACCAGUGGCGAAGGCGGCUCACUGGCUCGAUACUGACGCUGAGGUGCGAAAGCGUGGGGAGCAAACAGG
rnacentral:rRNA from 1 species